rnacentral:misc_RNA from 1 species
AAUUAAACUCAUCGACAAUCUCACGGAUUAACGCAAACUCCUCUUCCAAAUUAGCGUUCCAUACUUCACGGAUUUGAAUCGAAUCGCCUUUGGGUAAAAUCGACAUUCCUCCAAGGUCAACACAAUAGGAGUAACAAAACAACAAAACCCUAGAAAAAAGAUGGCGAACAGAGGUGGAGAUCUGAGAAGAAACAAGUGGGGGCGUCGGAAAACCAACGCCAGAGU